rnacentral:tRNA from 1 species
GAUUCCAUAGUGUAGCGGUUAGCACAUCUGCUUUACACGCAGAAGGUCCUGGGUUCGUGCCCCAGUGGAGCCA